GUGCCAGCAGCCGCGGUAAUACGUAGGGUCCAAGCGUUAUCCGGAAUCACUGGGCGUAAAGCGUUUGUAGGCGGAAAUUUAAGUGAGAUGCGAAAUCUUGUGGCUCAACCAUAUAGACGGUAUCUCAUACUGGGUUUCUAGAAGAUAGCAGAGGUAAGUGGAAUUAGUAGUGUAGCGGUAAAAUGCGUAGAUAUUACUAGGAACACCAAUGGCGAAGGCAGCUUACUGGGCUAUAUUUGACGCUGAGAAACGAAAGCGUGGGGAGCGAACAGGAUUAGAUACCCUCGUAGUCC
rnacentral:rRNA from 1 species